rnacentral:rRNA from 1 species
AUUGAACGCUGGCGGCAUGCUUUACACAUGCAAGUCGAACGGCAGCGCGGGCUUCGGCCUCGCGGCGAGGGGCGAACGGGCGAGUGAUGCAUCGGAACGUGCCCAGCAGCGGGGGCUAGCCCGGCGAAAGCCGGAUUAAUACCGCAUACGACCUGAGGGUGAAAGCGGGGGACCGAAAGGCCUCGCGCUAUUGCAGCGGCCGAUGUCGGAUUAGCUAGUUGGCGGGGUAAAGGCUUACCAAGGCGACGAUCCGUAGCUGGUCUGAGAGGAUGACCAGCCACACUGGGACUGAGACACGGCCCAGACUCCUACGGGAGGCAGCAGUGGGGAAUUUUGGACAAUGGGCGCAAGCCUGAUCCAGCCAUGCCGCGUGCGGGAAGAAGGCCUUCGGGUUGUAAACCGCUUUUGUUCGGGAAGAAAACCUGUAGGCUAAUACCCCGCGGGGAUGACGGUACCGGAAGAAUAAGCACCGGCUAACUACGUG